AGAGUUUGAUCCUGGCUCAGAAUGAACGCUGGCGGCGUGCUUAACACAUGCAAGUCGAACGAGAAAGGGACUGCUUGCAGUCCCGAGUAGAGUGGCGCACGGGUGAGUAACGCGUGGAUAAUCUACCUUUGAAUUUGGGAUAACAUGGCGAAAGCCGUGCUAAUACCGGAUGAAGUUGUGAUAAUUUAGGUUAUUACAAUGAAAGGUUGCAGUAGCGAUAUUGCAAUUGUUUAGAGAUGAGUCCGCGUACCAUUAGCUAGUUGGUAGGGUAAGGGCCUACCAAGGCGACGAUGGUUAGCUGGUCUGAGAGGAUGAUCAGCCACACUGGAACUGGGACACGGUCCAGACUCCUACGGGAGGCAGCAGUGAGGAAUUUUGCGCAAUGGGGGGAACCCUGACGCAGCAACGCCGCGUGAGUGAUGAAGGCCUUUGGGUCGUAAAGCUCUGUCAAUGGGGAAGAACAUAUAGUAUACAAAUAGUGUAUUGUAUUGACGGUACCCAUGGAGGAAGCACCGGCUAACUCCGUGCCAGCAGCCGCGGUAAUACGGGGGGUGCAAGCGUUAUUCGGARUUAUUGGGCGUAAAGGGCGCGUAGGCUGUGUAUUAGGUCAGAUGUGAAAGCCCGGGGCUUAACUCCGGAAGUGCAUUUGARACCGAUAUACUUGAGUAUGGGAGAGGGAAGUGGAAUUCCUGGUGUAGAGGUGAAAUUCGUAGAUAUCAGGAGGAACACCGGUGGCGAAGGCGACUUCCUGGCCCAAUACUGACGCUGAUGCGCGAAGGCGUGGGGAGCAAACAGGAUUAGAUACCCUGGUAGUCC
rnacentral:rRNA from 1 species